CGCCACGCCCUCCAGGGAGCCUUAUUCCCGCCCCUCCAGGGAGCUUUAUCCCCGCCCCCAGGAGCGCGGAGUCCCGCCCCCCGGGGGAGCCGAGCACCCCUGGGAGAGCCCUGCCUCGCCACGCCCCGUCAGAGAGCCAAGCCCCGCCCUCCGGGGGGAGGGGGAAACCAAGGCACCACCACCACCACCACCCCCCCCCGGGAUUCGAGGCCCCGCCCCGCCCGACAGCUAAGCCACGCCUCUAGUACAUUGCCAAAGUACCUGUCUGGGGCUUGGUCCCGCCCACCAGAGGGGACCCGAAAAGUCUUGGGCUGGCGUAGCCGAAAAGCCCCCCGCCUCGACCGCCCUUCAAGGUUCAUUAGGUCCCUCUCCUCGCAGCCCCACCGGUCCCAGGCGGCCCUGGCCUCCGCUCACCUGAGGACUGCGGGCCUCCCGUCGCGCGCCCGUACAGAGCACGGGAAAGGAAUGUCACCGACAAACGCACGACGGCUGCCCCUUCCCGACUGAGCGCACACGACAGAGAGAAGAACGCAAUUACGAGAUUAUGGAAGCAGACCUCUGCCUGGGUGAGCCCAGCUCCUUUCUGGUCCAGACUCACGUCAACACCCUGAAGUGCUGGAGCAACUGCCCAGAGCCCAUAUGGAAGCUAAGAAUCCACAGACCACCCCAGUGUUUCUGGUCAGUGUUGCUCUUUCUACUCAGAUUGAAAAAUAAUGACUCUUCGAGUUCCCUGGGCCCAGCCUCCACAAGGUCCUGGCUCUUCACUACUUCCUUAAGGAGGUCUCCAAGCGGAAAAGACAGCUGCCUACCCCAGUCCACAGAAUCCCAUAAACAGGUAAGUGCAUCUUUUGACAAAAGUAACAAUGCUGGACUUCAAACCUUGACUAUCUCAGCUCCGGGCAAUUGAAAAACAACUUGUGACUGCCUUCCCUGUAUCUGGGUGUUUUUUCAAACUGUCGUCCAGCCUGUUAUCAGAACUCGCCUCCUGCAAGUGGUAACACAGAAACAAAAGAAGAGUCAUGCUUCACUCACCUAUUUAAUAUUAGUAUUUAAUGACCCCAUUGACUCCAUAUCACAUGACACAGAGUACUUCACAAUCCAGGCCUAACCUCCAGGUCUGGCAGCAUCUCCUGUCACCAAACAUCUCUCAAUGGGAGCCACCCAGUUCCUUAGUGGGAACGCACCAUGCCUUGUCACAUCCCUGCCCCUUGUUCAAGCUGUCUCCUCUGUCAGGAAAACCCUUUUCCCAGUCUGUGCUGGUAAACAGUCACCCCUUCCACCUCGUCCUCAAAUGGUACCCCUUCCCGGAAUGUCCCUUUAUUACUGCACCAUCCUUUGUUUUAUGACAAACACGUGCUUCCUUUGGUAGCGGCCUCCCCAGCUGUAUCCGCUGUUACAUGACAGACAUGCUAGCAUACAUCACGCAAUAGGCAAAUGUGUACUGACUACAUGUUGGCUGAGUGAAGAACAACAAACUGGCUAGAUGGCUACAGAGGGAGGAAUGUGAACCAAACAGAUUUAAAGAAGCCUUGUGGAUCAUUGCCAUCCCCAUCCAAGCUAGGAAGUCUCUCAGCAAAUACAAAUGCGUCAACUCAUGUGAUAAGUAUUUACAGAAUGCCUGACUAACCUACAUGCUAUGUUCUACAUGGAUCCAUAGAUUAUAAAGCAUGCACUUCGCUGCUGUAUAUUUCAAUUUGUUUUUUUUUUCUAAUCUGUCUACUCACUACUAGGUCCUAUUAAUAAAAUAUUCUUCUAGAAAAGUUUUAGGGUAUAUUAAAAUGUACAAAAUAGUUUGGUUAAAUUUCCAUCUUUUGAAGAAUGGUUAACCAUGUUCAUAAUUUGAAUUAUGUAUAAUUCAGUUAAAAGAUAUACCUAAAUCUACAUUUUUGACAGCAGGAACAAUAAAAGACUGUGUACAAUAACCCACAAAGAUGUUAAAGGUUUGACUUUGUGCUGACCAUUAGAACAGAAAGAAAUGGAUGACCAUGAGAACUGUGGUAAUCCAUAAUGGGGGAGAAGAACCAGAGGGGAAGACUUAGGCUAUCGCAGAAAACAAUUACACAUUGAACCCUGAAAGCUUUGUGUCCUUGAAGCUUUUACAGCCCGUUAUGUAGAACUGGAUCCUUUACAAAAAAACGCCAAAGAGGAUACAUUCAUGCUAAAAUGAGGGAAGAUUAGAUAGAAGAGAUCUUUUUAAACGGAAAAUUUUUUAAAUUGUAUACAAUUUUAAAGGUUACUUUUUCUUGCAGUUAUUACAAAACAUUGGCUAUAUUCCCUGUGUAAUACAGUACACCUUUGAGCCUAUCUCACACCCAAAAGUUUGUGCCUCUCCCACUCCUGUGUUGCCACCUCCCAUGGUAACCACCAGUUCUCUGUAUCUGUGAGUCAUCUUUUUGUUAUAUUCACUAGUUUGUUGUAGUUUUAUUUUUUUUCCAAGAAAGCAAAGUGAGGAUUUAUUAAGUGAAAGUAUGCUCACAGUGGGAGAGCAGGCAGACUAAGGUGAGUAGCUGCCUCACUUGUAUUUUUUAGAUUCCACAUAUAAGCUUGUGCCUCCCACUCCCCACCCGUCUUGUGCCCCUCCCUCACUUUCUCCACUGGUAACCACUAGUGUUUGUUCCCCAUGUUUGCAAAGUCUGCUUCUUUUUUGU